CACAGCUAUUGUGAUUUGAUUCACUGGGGAGCCGGUGAGAACGUUAAGGAGGAUUUUUAUACUUCCUGGGCGAACUAUCCCAGAGAGUGAUUUAUCUUUUGUUUUUGGCUUUGGGAGGUUGGAGAGCUCUGGGGAGUUUAGCUAAGCUCCUCUACAACGUUGUUGCGACGGCAUCCACCCUGUGGCGUCGGCAGGCCCUUGGACAGACGCCAGCCCUCCGGUGAGCGCGUGAGCGCCUGCGCUGGCCGUCGCGGGCGAAGGUGAGACACAGCUCCCCAGUCUGAGUCUCCAGGCUCCCAAAGCCGCAGGCGGAGGGUUUGAUCCCGGUGAGUGGAGUCUACGUACAGAUGGCGUAAUUUGCAUUUAUGCAAGGCUUGAUUGUAAACACCCAGCGGCUGCUUACGUUAUUUCUUUGAAUGUGCACAGUGAUUAGGAUCACUUUUCCAUUUUGGGGGGUUGAUCUCACACUGGGGUUUCUUUGAUUCUGACUCUGUGCGAAGCACAGCAACACACAGCCUCCCCCCAUGGGGAUCACAGCGGGGAGGAGCCGGCCCGGCGGAAAUGGAGAGAUGGAUACACCUGGGAGCCCCCAGGAGGCGGGUGGUGGGCCCUGCGAUAGAUGCGAGGUGGGGGUGGCCGGUGAACGGAGGGACCGGAGGGAUGGUCUCCGUUCUCGAGGUGCGGCAAGUCCCUGCCUCGUUUCUCAGCUGCUUGUUUGAACUUCUAGUCCCAAGCACUGGCCACCGCGGCCCUACACCCAGUUCCAGGCUUUGUGGAGAAAAUAAAAGAAGCGUCUGCUAAACAUGUGCCUUCUAGGAACUUACACGGAAGGGACGACCCCCAGGCAAAACAGGAGAAAAGUCUGACCAUGUGUAAUGGUGACCAAGGGCUGGCCCCUCAGUAUCUGCCAUGGGGAAGUUAGAACAGGAAAGCCAUUUGUAGGCUUGGGUUAUUGGGGAAUGUUCCAACUCCACUCUCUAGGAAGAAGCUAGGUGAGCUCUGGAACAAAACUCACAGAAAGGCAAACCACUUCUCUCUCCUGGUUCAACCUCCACGCUUGAUAUGUAGGGACCCACUUCUGUUGACCUCUCUGCGGAAGAGGAGAAUGCUCUGGCAUUAAUUUAUUCAACAAUGUUUGUUAAGUGAUGAAACAUAAUUGCUCAACCACUGAUUGAUUGAUUGAUUGGCUUUCAGUGGAGCCUAGGCACAGGAAUUGUAUGUACAAAGCGUGAAUAGAGCAUAUUUUACUUAAAAAUAUUUUCUAGGUAGAAUUUCUAUGCCUGGGCUCCAUUGCAAGCCAAUAAAAAUGUGACAGGUGGCCCCACGGGAGAUGAAAUGAAACUCUUAGAAUGUUCUCUUCCUGUAUCAGCUGCCUCAAAGAACUGCCAAUCUAUUUUUUUUUUUUGUAGAUAAUUACAUAUGU